rnacentral:rRNA from 1 species
UACGAAGGGGGCUAGCGUUGUUCGGAUUUACUGGGCGUAAAAGGGCGCGUAGGCGGCCACCGCAAGUCGGUUGUGAAAUCUCCGGGCUUAACUCGGAACGGUCAAGUGAUACUGUCGGACUAGAGUACAGAAGGGGCAACUGGAAUUCUCGGUGUAGCGGUGAAAUGCGUAGAUAUCGGGAGGAACACCAGUGGCGAAGGCGGCCCCCUGGGCCGCUCCUGACGCUGAGACGCGAAGGCCAGGGUAGCGAACGGG